rnacentral:rRNA from 1 species
GGUCAUUUAGAGGAAGUAAAAGUCGUAACAAGGUUUCCGUAGGUGAACCUGCGGAAGGAUCAUUACCUAGAGUUGUAGGCUUUGCCUGCUAUCUCUUACCCAUGUCUUUUGAGUACCUUACGUUUCCUCGGCGGGUCCGCCCGCCGAUUGGACACUUUAAACCAUUUGCAGUUGCAAUCAGCGUCUGAAAAAACUUAAUAGUUACAACUUUCAACAACGGAUCUCUUGGUUCUGGCAUCGAUGAAGAACGCAGCGAAAUGCGAUAAGUAGUGUGAAUUGCAGAAUUCAGUGAAUCAUCGAAUCUUUGAACGCACAUUGCGCCCCUUGGUAUUCCAUGGGGCAUGCCUGUUCGAGCGUCAUUUGUACCUUCAAGCUUUGCUUGGUGUUGGGUGUUUGUCUCGCCUCUGCGUGUAGACUCGCCUCAAAACAAUUGGCAGCCGGCGUAUUGAUUUCGGAGCGCAGUACAUCUCGCGCUUUGCACUCAUAACGACGACGUCCAAAAGUACAUUUUUACACUCUUGACCUCGGAUCAGGUAGGGAUACCCGCUGAACUUAAGCAUAUCAAUAAGCGGAGGAA